rnacentral:lncRNA from 1 species
GCUAAAGAAUAAAACCAAGGAAAUCAUAGCUUAAGCAUCUCAAAAUGACAAAAUUUCCAAUAUCUUUAAGAGUCCCUUCUCAAGAGAUGCUAAAGGAGACGAGAGGUAAACCUUUUCGUGUCUUCUCUGUUCAUAACCCUUUAUCAGAAAACAAUGAUGAAGAAAUAUGAGAUAAAGAACGAAUAAGAGACAAAGAAACAUAUAGUCCUAGAGAAAAAGGAGAAUAAGGUUGGCGACGAGAGAAAGAAAGAAAGAAGAUAAAGUAGAAGACAUCAUUGUUUUGGAGAUCCUUCAAUGACAAGUUUGGAAGUUGUCUUCAAAAGAUCUGAACGGAGGAAAAAGAUCUCCUCGCUAUCGCUGAUCUUGGUGUCGCUUCACUCUGACUCCACUUUGUAUAGUAUCUAUGUUUUUCAAUCAAUUCCCAAUUGUUU